rnacentral:rRNA from 1 species
UACGUAGGGUGCAAGCGUUAUCCGGAAUUAUUGGGCGUAAAGAGCUCGUAGGCGGUUUGUCGCGUCUGCUGUGAAAUCUGGGGGCUCAACCCCCAGCCUGCAGUGGGUACGGGCAGACUAGAGUGCAGUAGGGGAGAUUGGAAUUCCUGGUGUAGCGGUGGAAUGCGCAGAUAUCAGGAGGAACACCGAUGGCGAAGGCAGAUCUCUGGGCCGUAACUGACGCUGAGGAGCGAAAGCAUGGGGAGCGAACAGG